UGUGCUAGAGUUACCAAGAGUCAGUGGUAAGCAUUUCUAUUCGAUGAGGGUUCGUGGUUAGGUACAAAUGCAAGUACUCACUACAAAGUGAGCACUUCCUUGCGAGGACACCAUGAGCGAGACUGAAGCUGUUUGAUGGAAGGUACAUGCUUUAAGCCUCUCCUACAAAAUGAAGACAAUGCAGCUAUUUUCCCUGUUUUGUACAAUGAUAAUCGUAUUUGCUGCCUUUUCCGCCAGCAAAAAGACGUUAACAGAUUCAAAACUAUGCAAACAGACAGCAGUUUGCGAACACCAAUGGGAAAUUCUCUGCCGCUCAGCAGGUGGACACUGGUUAUUAACUUGUGGAGAAAAUAGAGUAGUCUGCCGGAGCUAUUGGCGAUCGACUUGUGCCCGACCAUCUGUUCGUUUUUGCCAAUCAAGCAGGGUACAUUGCAUGUGUCGUUGUGCAAGAGCAACCAGUUUGUAGAAGAACUUAUGAUCU
rnacentral:lncRNA from 1 species